rnacentral:rRNA from 1 species
AGUGAACGCUGGCGGUAGGCCUAAUACAUGCAAGUCGAACGGCAGCACAGUAAGGGCUUGCUCUUACGGGUGGCGAGUGGCGGACGGGUGAGGAAUACAUCGGAAUCUACUUUUUCGUGGGGGAUAACGUAGGGAAACUUACGCUAAUACCGCAUACGACCUACGGGUGAAAGCAGGGGAUCUUCGGACCUUGCGCGAUUGAAUGAGCCGAUGUCGGAUUAGCUAGUUGGCGGGGUAAAGGCCCACCAAGGCGACGAUCCGUAGCUGGUCUGAGAGGAUGAUCAGCCACACUGGAACUGAGACACGGUCCAGACUCCUACGGGAGGCAGCAGUGGGGAAUAUUGGACAAUGGGCGCAAGCCUGAUCCAGCCAUACCGCGUGGGUGAAGAAGGCCUUCGGGUUGUAAAGCCCUUUUGUUGGGAAAGAAAAGCAGCAGGUUAAUACCCCGCUGUUCUGACGGUACCCAAAGAAUAAGCACCGGCUAACUUCGUG